CCUACGGGGGGCUGCAGUGGGGGAUAUUGCACAAUGGGGGGAACCCUGAUGCAGCGACGCCGCGUGGGUGAAGAAGCGCCUCGGCGCGUAAAGCCCUGUCAGCAGGGAAGAAAAUGACGGUACCUGAAGAAGAAGCCCCGGCUAACGACGUGCCAGCAGCCGCGGUAAGACGUAGGGGGCAAGCGUUAUCCGGAGUGACUGGGGGUAAAGGGGGCGGAGACGGGGAUGCAAGCCAGGAGUGAAAGCCCGGGGCCCAACCCCGGGACUGCUCUUGGAACUGCGUGGCUGGAGUGCAGGAGGGUCAGGCGGCAUUCCUGGUGUAGCGGUUAACUGCGUAGAUAUCAGGCGGCACACCGGUGGCGAAGGCGUCCUGCUGGACUGCAACUGACGUUGAGGCCCGAACGCGUGGUGAGCAAACAGGAUUAGCUCCCCGGGUAGUC
rnacentral:rRNA from 1 species